rnacentral:rRNA from 1 species
UACGAAGGGGGCUAGCGUUGCUCGGAAUCACUGGGCGUAAAGCGCACGUAGGCGGGUCCUUAAGUCAGGGGUGAAAUCCCGGAGCUCAACUCCGGAACUGCCUUUGAUACUGGGGAUCUUGAGUCCGGAAGAGGUGAGUGGAACUCCGAGUGUAGAGGUGAAAUUCGUAGAUAUUCGCAAGAACACCAGUGGCGAAGGCGGCUCACUGGCCCGGUACUGACGCUGAGGUGCGAAAGCGUGGGGAGCAAACAGG